UAGAGUUUGAUCCUGGCUCAGAUUGAACGCUGGCGGCAGGCCUAACACAUGCAAGUCGAGCGGAAACGAGAAUAGCUUGCUAUUCGGCGUCGAGCGGCGGACGGGUGAGUAAUGCCUGGGAAAUUGCCCUGAUGUGGGGGAUAACCAUUGGAAACGAUGGCUAAUACCGCAUAAUAGCUUCGGCUUAAAGAGGGGGACCUUCGGGCCUCUCGCUUCAGGAUAUGCCCAGGUGGGAUUAGCUAGUUGGUGAGGUAAAGGCUCACCAAGGCGACGAUCCCUAGCUGGUCUGAGAGGAUGAUCAGCCACACUGGAACUGAGACACGGUCCAGACUCCUACGGGAGGCAGCAGUGGGGAAUAUUGCACAAUGGGCGCAAGCCUGAUGCAGCCAUGCCGCGUGUAUGAAGAAGGCCUUCGGGUUGUAAAGUACUUUCAGCAGUGAGGAAGGGUGUGUAGUUAAUAGCUGCAUACUUUGACGUUAGCUGCAGAAGAAGCACCGGCUAACUCCGUGCCAGCAGCCGCGGUAAUACGGAGGGUGCGAGCGUUAAUCGGAAUUACUGGGCGUAAAGCGCAUGCAGGUGGUUUGUUAAGUCAGAUGUGAAAGCCCGGGGCUCAACCUCGGAACCGCAUUUGAAACUGGCAGGCUAGAGUACUGUAGAGGGGGGUAGAAUUUCA
rnacentral:rRNA from 1 species